GAUGAACGCUGGCGGCGUGCCUAAUACAUGCAAGUCGAGCGAACAGACGAGGAGCUUGCUCCUCUGACGUUAGCGGCGGACGUGUGAGUAACACGUGGAUAACCUACCUAUAAGACUGGGAUAACUUCGGGAAACCGGAGCUAAUACCGGAUAAUAUAUUGAACCGCAUGGUUCAAUAGUGAAAGACGGUUUUGCUGUCACUUAUAGAUGGAUCCGCGCCGCAUUAGCUAGUUGGUAAGGUAACGGCUUACCAAGGCGACGAUGCGUAGCCGACCUGAGAGGGUGAUAGGCCACACUGGAACUGAGACACGGUCCAGACUCCUACGGGAGGAAGCAGUAGGGAAUAUUCCGAAAUGGGCGAAAGCCUGACGGAGAAAAGCCGCGUGAGUGAUGAAGGUCUUCGGAUCGUAAAACUCUGUUAUUAGGGAAGAACAAAUGUGUAAGUAACUAUGCACGUCUUGACGGUACCUAAUCAGAAAGCCACGGCUAACUACGUG
rnacentral:rRNA from 1 species